rnacentral:rRNA from 1 species
GUGGGGAAUAUUGGACAAUGGGCGAAAGCCUGAUCCAGCAAUGCCGCGUGAGUGAUGAAGGCCUUAGGGUUGUAAAGCUCUUUUACCAGGGAUGAUAAUGACAGUACCUGGAGAAUAAGCUCCGGCUAACUCCGUGCCAGCAGCCGCGGUAAUACGGAGGGAGCUAGCGUUGUUCGGAAAUACUGGGCGUAAAGCGAACGUAGGCGGCAUAGCAAGUCAGGGGUGAAAUCCCGGGGCUCAACCCCGGAACUGCCCUUGAAACUGCUAAGCUAGAAUCCUGGAGAGGCGAGUGGAAUUCCGAGUGUAGAGGUGAAAUUCGUAGAUAUUCGGAAGAACACCAGUGGCGAAGGCGACUCGCUGGACAGGUAUUGACGCUGAGGUUCGAAAGCGUGGGGAGCAAACAGGAUUAGAAACCCUUGUAGUCC